rnacentral:rRNA from 1 species
AGCGAACGCUGGCGGCAGGCCUAACACAUGCAAGUCGAACGAACCUUUCGGGGUUAGUGGCGGACGGGUGAGUAACACGUGGGAACGUGCCUUUAGGUUCGGAAUAACUCAGGGAAACGUGUGCUAAUACCGAAUGUGCCCUUCGGGGGAAAGAUUAAUCGCCUUUAGAGCGGCCCGCGUCUGAUUAGCUAGUUGGUUGAGGUAAUGGCUCACCAAGGCGACGAUCAGUAGCUGGUCUGAGAGGAUGAUCAGCCACAUUGGGACUGAGACACGGCCCAAACUCCUACGGGAGGCAGCAGUGGGGAAUCUUGCGCAAUGGGCGAAAGCCUGACGCAGCCAUGCCGCGUGAAUGAUGAAGGUAUUAGGAUUGUAAAAUUCUUUCAACGGGGACGAUAAUGACGGUACCCGGACAAGAAGCCCCGGCUAACUUCGUG